rnacentral:lncRNA from 1 species
AGAUAAAAAAACAAAAGGGUUCUCUUUCCUUUGCUCUUACCACAGUUUUCAAAUUCGAGAAUUACAUUUGCAUAUAUUUGAUCAUAUAUUUAGGUGUGUUUUGUUUGUUACAUUGGCUAUUAUACACGUGGGUAUGUCCGGUAAAGAGAAAGUCUUGUAGGGAGAAAGAAAAGGAAAAACAAAGGGAGAUUCUUCUCUCCUCCCUUGUGCAGUUCUAGACAGGGUGAUGUUCAAAACACUGUCUUUCCAGCAAAACCCAGUUGCUCCAUCCUACGUUCUUGCCUUAUUAUUCCUUUAAUUAAGAUGUCCCCAUCUUGAGGUACUUCUCUCUCUCUCUGUGUUUCCUGAAAAUUAAGGGGUUUAUUUGUAUUAUAUGUAUAUGUAUAUGUAUGUAUUUUGGCUGAGGUAUUGACAGUAAAGCAGUCUGAGUAGUCUAAUUUAUGUCUCCUCUUUCUUAAAAUUAUUCUUUACUGCCUGCCUACAUUCCCCAUUUUGUCUCUAAAUAAAAGGGGAACCCUUUCCCAUUUACUAAACUUAAAUUUAUUGGGUUGUGCAGAAAUACUGCAUAAGAAAAAUUCCAUACCCAGAUCAAAUUGAGCUUUGACAAGCAUAUUUAAAGCCAGUUGUGAGAUGGGUUUUGAGAUUUAUGUAUGAUUAGUGGAGGUAUGUGGUUGUUAAGACUCUCUAAUUUCUCGUCUUUGAGUUCUCUUUCUGCUGUUUGUAGAAAUGACACCCUUCUGUUUGUGAAUAACUAGUGAGAGAAAUAGGAGAGCGAAAUCACCCGUCUUUGUG